rnacentral:lncRNA from 1 species
CACAGGCUGUAGGCAGCUCUGUACAGAUGCAAAAUUGAAGCCCUUUGGACAGAGAAGCAAUGGCA